rnacentral:rRNA from 1 species
AUGAAGUGGGAAGAAAUGGGCUACAUUUUCUACCACAGAAUAUUACGAAUAUAUACCAUGAAACAGUAUUUAAAGGAGGAUUUAGCAGUAAGGGGUAAAUAGAGUGUCCCCCUGAACCCGGCUCUGAGACGCGCACACACCGCCCGUCACUCUCUCCAAACAACGUGUAACUUUUUACUUAAAACCAAAAACAACAGCAAGGAGAGGCAAGUCGUAACAUGGUAAGUGUACCGGAAGGUGCACUUGGACCAAAU